AGGUACUGGUCUCCUAGCCUGUAAGGCUUGUGCAUGAUGUAUAUGAGAGCAAUUUCCAGCAGAGCGAAGCUUAUCACAGAUCCACCUAAAAGGUGACAUGGGUGAAUAUCAGACAGCUCAUUAUGGAGACAAGCAUGCUGCAUUCCCAAAGUAGGAUGACAGAACAAGUCAUGAUCUUGUACAGAAGGAAAAUGAGAUCCCUGGUGAAGCCUACAAUGUCAAUGACUCUGAAGAAGGACUCAGAGACCCAUUGGUGUUU